AGCAAAGAACAACAACAGAACUGCAAUAGGAGCAGUGUUUCAUCCCGCAUCUUCACGUGAAACCUCAGUAUGUCAAGUAGAAACGAAAGCAGCAGAAAUUCAUCAAGUAAAUUAUCUUCCUGGCUUUAAAACCAAAGCUGAAACCUGAACUGUUCCAUUUGAUGAUCCUGGAUCUCAGUGCACAUCUCAUGUAGAGGAAAAAAUACAGGAUCAGGAUCCAGGGCAAAAUCCUUUUUCUUCUGAACCAUCCCCAGGGGGAGAUAGGGAGGAUCAUUCAUCCCACCUUGGCUCUACCACGUGUUGUAACACCCUGGGAACACUUCCCAUCUCUGUUAUUGGCCUCUUGUAUUGAUGCUCCCUCAGCCUCUUCCCUGGAGCAUAUUUGGGAGUGCUGGUAGAAGAGGUGACAGCUCUGCAUGUACCAAGGAAUUUUCUUUUGGCAAAUCAAGGCUUUCUGAGUGGCAAUGUGUGUCUGCUGGAACACAGUACAGAUGCUGCCCCAUAAAUUUCAAUACUGCACACAUGCAAAAUGCGUGUGUGUGUUUGCCUGCUGUGGGCAGGGACUGAGGCACAGGCAACCAACCCCAGCAGUGCUGUGUGAGGAUAAGUAGUCAGAUGCCUGAUGGUUUCCUGUGUGAGCACAUGUAUGAAAACAGACAUGAGAAAUCUGCAGGGAUCCUUAUGAAAUCAGUUAUCUCUGGGCAAUUUCAAAAUAAAACAUUCGCUGGGGAUAAAAAUGGAGAGCUUCAAUUA